rnacentral:rRNA from 1 species
GAUGAACGCUAGCGGCAGGCCUAAUACAUGCAAGUCGAACGCUCAGUAGCAAUACUGGGAGUGGCGCACGGGUGCGUAACGCGUACACAAUCUACCUCUAAGCGGGGGACACCUCCUGGAAACGGGGAUUAAUACCGCAUAAUAUGCCGAAGUCGCAUGACUUUGGUAUUAAAGCAGCAAUGCACUUAGAGAUGAGUGUGCGUCCCAUUAGGUAGUUGGUGAGGUAACGGCUCACCAAGCCUAUGAUGGGUAGCCGGUCUGAGAGGAUGGUCGGCCACACGGGCACUGAGACACGGGCCCGACUCCUACGGGAGGCAGCAGUAAGGAAUAUUGGUCAAUGGUGGAAACACUGAACCAGCCAUGCCGCGUGGAGGAAUAAGGUCCUACGGAUUGUAAACUCCUUUUGACGAGGAAGAAAUGUUAGAUUAUCUAAUUUUGACGGUACUCGUAGAAUAAGCACCGGCUAACUCCGUGCCAGCAGCCGCGGUAAU